CAUGCCCUGCCCCAGUCGUGUUGCAGAUGUGGCUGUAGUGCCAUGUUUGUGUCAUUAGGUGGCAGAAAGGAAAAGGCUACGUCUUUGCUAGUGCUCUGAAACCAGUGAGCGCUCAGAAAUGGCGAGCAACCUGACACUU
ensembl:snoRNA